CAGUCGCCACGGGAAUACGGAGGGAGUUAGCGUUGUUCGGAAUUACUGGGCGUAAAGCGCACGUAGGCGGCUUUGUAAGUCAGAGGUGAAAGCCUGGAGCUCAACUCCAGAACUGCCUUUGAGACUGCAUCGCUUGAAUCCAGGAGAGGUGAGUGGAAUUCCGAGUGUAGAGGUGAAAUUCGUAGAUAUUCGGAAGAACACCAGUGGCGAAGGCGGCUCACUGGACUGGUAUUGACGCUGAGGUGCGAAAGCGUGGGGAGCAAACAGGAUUAGAUACCCCCGUAGUCCCUGUCUCUUAUAC
rnacentral:rRNA from 1 species